GCCGAAGUGGCGGAAUUGGUAGACGCGCUAGGUUCAGGGUCUAGUGGGGGUUUCCUCAUGGGAGUUCAAAUCUCCCCUUCGGCA
rnacentral:tRNA from 1 species